AUUGAACGCUGGCGGCAUGCCUUACACAUGCAAGUCGAACGGCAGCACGGGAGCAAUCCUGGUGGCGAGUGGCGAACGGGUGAGUAAAGUAUCGGAACGUGCCCAGUCGUGGGGGAUAACGUAGCGAAAGUUACGCUAAUACCGCAUACGAUCUAUGGAUGAAAGCGGGGGAUCGCAAGACCUCGCGCGAUUGGAGCGGCCGAGAGCAGAUUAGGUAGUUGGUGAGGUAAAGGCUCACCAAGCCGAUGAUCUGUAGCUGGUAUGAGAGGACGACCAGCCACACUGGGACUGAGCCACGGCCCAGACUCCUACGGGAGGCAGCAGUGGGGAAUUUUGGACAAUGGGCGAAAGCCUGAUCCAGCCAUGCCGCGUGCAGGAUGAAGGCCUUCGGGUUGUAAACUGCUUUUGUACGGAACGAAAAGGUUUGGCCUAAUAAGCUGAGCUCAUGACGGUACCGUAAGAAUAAGCACCGGCUAACUACGUGCCAGCCGCCGCCGAAA
rnacentral:rRNA from 1 species